rnacentral:rRNA from 1 species
UGGGGGAUAUUGCACAAUGGGCGAAAGCCUGAUGCAGCGACGCCGCGUGGGGGAUGAAGGCCUUCGGGUUGUAAACCUCUUUUGCUCUGAACAAGGCAUGCUAAUGGGUGUGUUGAGUGUAGGGGUUGAUUAGCGCCGGCUAACUACGUGCCAGCAGCCGCGGUAAUACGUAGGGCGCGAGCGUUGUCCGGAAUUAUUGGGCGUAAAGGGCUUGUAGGUGGCUGGUUGCGUCUGUCGUGAAAGCUCAUGGCUUAACUGUGGGUUUGCGGUGGGUACGGGCUGGCUUGAGUUCAGUAGGGGAGGCUGGAAUUCCUGGUGUAGCGGUGGAAUGCGCAGAUAUCAGGAGGAAUACCGGUGGCGAAGGCGGGUCUCUGGGCUGUUACUGACACUGAGGAGCGAAAGCAUGGGGAGCGAACAGG